rnacentral:lncRNA from 1 species
ACCCGAUUGGUGACCCCAGCCCCUUCUCUCCCCUUGUGCAACUCUCAGCUUCGUUGGAUUUCAUCCUCUUCGUCCUCUCACACAUUCCUUGUUGGGCAAAUUCCAAAACUCUAUUUACAACAUAACCUUCGAGAAGAAACAUGGUGACGAAUCCUUGUAAGCUGUAUACCGUGGAUUGGCAGUUGUUUCUUUGGACAGAAUUUUAUUUGGUAUUUCUUUUGGAGAAAUAAAAAUGAUUAAAAGGAGAAGUAGAAGACGAAUAUUGGAGUGGAAGGAUCAUAAAGCAAGCAAAAGAAGGAAUAACGGGUCACCCUACUUGCUCCGUGUUUCCUUGUUAACUAAUGCUGCUACCCUACGCCGUAAAUCUCAACAAAUAAAAGCCCAUCAUAAAUAAAUAAAUAAAUAUAAAUUCCCCACCUCCCUCCCUCCCGCAAAUCCAAACUCAUUUCUCAACGUACAAAUGAUGUAAUAUCCAUUAAAACCGACCAAGGGAACCCCUCGCUGGGCCACCACCACACCACACCACACCACCUCCUCAAUGCUCAUUGC